CUACGGGGCGCUGCAGUGGGGAAUAUUGGACAAUGGGGGAAACCCUGAUCCAGCAAUGCCGCGUGUGUGAAGAAGGCCUGCGGGUUGUAAAGCACUUUCGGUUGGGAGGACUGCUUCUAGCACUAAUAUUGUUGGAAGUUGACGUUACCUUCAGAAGAAGCACCGGCUAACUCCGUGCCAGCAGCCGCGGUAAUACGGGAGGGUGCAGCGUUAAUCGGAAUUACUGGGCGUAAAGCGCGCGUAGGCGGCUAGAUCAGUCGGGUGUGAAAGCCCCGGGCUUAACCUGGGAACUGCAUCCGAUACUGUCUAGCUUGAGUACAGGAGAGGAGAGUGGAAUUCCACAUGUAGCGGUGAAAUGCGUAGAUAUGUGGAGGAACACCAAUGGCGAAGGCAGCUCUCUGGCCUGAUACUGACGCUGAGGUGCGAAAGCGUGGGGAGCAAACAGGAUUAGAUACCCUUGUAGUC
rnacentral:rRNA from 1 species